rnacentral:rRNA from 1 species
CACGAAGUUAGCCGGGGCUUCUUCUGUGGGUACCGUCAUUAUCGUCCCCACUGAAAGAGCUUUACAAUCCUAAGACCUUCAUCACUCACGCGGCAUGGCUGGAUCAGGCUUGCGCCCAUUGUCCAAUAUUCCCCACUGCUGCCUCCCGUAGGAGUUUGGGCCGUGUCUCAGUCCCAAUGUGGCUGGUCAUCCUCUCAGACCAGCUAUGGAUCGUCGCCUUGGUAGGCCUUUACCCCACCAACUAGCUAAUCCAACGCGGGCUCAUCCAUCCCCGAUAAAUCUUUCUCCCUCAGGACGUAUACGGUAUUAAUUCCAGUUUCCCGGAGCUAUCCCGUAGAGAUGGGUAGAUUCCCACGCGUUACUCACCCGUCUGCCACUCCCCUUGCGGGCGUUCGACUUGCAUGUGUUAAGCCUGCCGCCAGCGUUCGUUCUGUAGCCAGGAUCAAACUCU